ensembl:lncRNA
UUUUCUUGGAAGGAAGCGGUGGAAGGCUAGGAAAGUUCAAGGGACUUCCCAGAGUUCACACUGAGCAGAGACAGAGACACAACAUGACAUGACUGCAAGGCUUCAGCUCUUUCAGAUCGACGUCACAGAUAAAGAGAUGAAAGCUUCCAGCCGCAGAGCAGCAAAAGGCAAACUUCUUCAUGUGGUUCUGACCAAGACCCUGGGAACUGUUGUUCUUUCAGCACUGGCUCCAUAAGACAGAUUGACCUCCCCUUCAUAUCCUCUAUUUGUAGGCGGGUGCUUGUGUGUUUGAGUGGGAGAUUUGAUACUAAGCUUUGAUGCAGCAGAGGGCUGACACAGGUGGGCUGUGCUUCUUCUUCCCCUCACUGACCCAUUAACUCUCCUGGGAAGAAAAACAGAGUGAAAACGAGUGAGAUGAGUGUGUUGAAUUAAUUUUAUGUCAGUAAUUAAGCAAACUCCAGUGUAAACUCCUCCAGUGGUAUAGUGGCUGAUGUAUUUGCUUGGCAAGAAAAGGGUGCUGCUUUGAUUCUAGCCAAAGACACAAAUCCUUCUUUCAGGAAGGGCAUCCGGUGUAAAACUCAAUCUAAAUCAAACUUACAACACCUUGAUUCCUUUUUAGCCAUUCUGUUGUAGAUUUGCUGCUGUGCUGUGGGCUCAUUGUCCUCUUGCAUAACCCAAUUUAAAUUGUCCUCACAUUUGAGUCUAAAAUACUUGGGUAUUCAGAGGAGUUCAUGGUUGACCUGCUGCCCAGGUCCAUGCGGCUACAAAAUAAAUAAUGCUCAAAUCAUCACCCUCCACCACUGUGCUGGACAGUUUUAUCAGGUGUGUGUGCUGAUAUGCUAUGCUUAGUUUUCUCACAACAUGGUACUGUGCAUUAUGGACAAACUCUCCACUUUUGUUUUGUCUGUCUUAAACACAUUGUUCUGCAAAUCUUGUGGGGCUUUUUUUUUUCAAAAGCAGCAUUGCGAACCUAAGUAUGGGCAGUAGCAAUUCCUUUUUAAAGAAGGAAUUGUUGUAGAAUUGUCACUGACAUUUUUCCUAAUUGGCAUUGUGUUAACACACAGUUGCUUGAGUGUAAUUAUUAAACAGAAAGCACUUAGAUGUAGAAGAAAAGUCUGUAUGUGAAUAGGGGAAUGAGAUAUGUUGUAUAAACAUGUCUCAUAUAAGAGCCAGUUAUUUACUUCGGCUAACUAUGAUCAAAUGCACCUAGCUGC